AAUAAAUAUAUUUCUUCGAGACGUCCCAAUCGUCCCAAAGCGGUCCAGAGCCAUACUACGAGUUAGUUUUCUGUGCUGGCAUUGAAUAAAAACUUUCUAAAUACCUACGAUGCAGAAUACAUUUUCAAAGAGAAGUGUUGGCUAAAAUAGACAUGGUAUAGGUAGACACAUGGACAUCUCUACUAAACAAUUUAUAAUGAAUUUUGCUUUAUUGUUUUAAUCAAACUGUACUACAUACUGAAACUCUCCAGUCAAACCAUAAGUUAGCGCUUUGUAAUAGUUGUUACAAUCCAAGGUACAUAACUGGCGACUCUUGUAUAUAUAGCGGGGAAUCCUUGCACCCCGCAAUCGUAUCCAUAGGAAACGACGCCAAUUAAAUACCAAUUUUGUUCACCGGUAGAUAUGUUGACAUAGAAGUUCAUUAGAGGUCCACCAGAAUCCCCCCCACAAGUAUCUUUACCAUCUUCACCCCCGACACACAACUGGUUGUACACCAAAUUUUCGAAUAAAGCAGAAUUGCAUUCACUGUUUCGCUUUAUUGGUAGAUCCACCUUUAACUUAACAUCUGAUGCUGUACCGUUUUCCGUGAGGCCCCAGCCAGCAGAAAACAAUGUUGUACCUCUAGGAGGGUUUAGUAGAGUAUGUGAUGGCAAACAUAUCGGCUU